rnacentral:rRNA from 1 species
AAAGGAAUAGACGGGGGCCCGCACAAGCGGAGGAACAUGUGGUUUAAUUCGAUGAUACGCGAGGAACCUUACCUGGGCUUAAAUGUAGAGUGCAUGCGGUGGAAACACCCUUCCCUUCGGGGCUCUUUACAAGGUGCUGCAUGGUUGUCGUCAGCUCGUGCCGUGAGGUGUCGGGUUAAGUCCCAUAACGAGCGCAACCCUUACCGUUAGUUGCCAUCAGGUUAAGCUGGGGACUCUAGCGGGACUGCCACCGUAAGGUGAGAGGAAGGUGGGGAUGACGUCAAAUCAGCACGGCCCUUAUGUCCAGGGCUACACACGUGUUACAAUGGCCGGUACAGGAGGCAGCUACUCUGUGAAGAGAUGCUAAUCUUCAAAGCCGGUCUCAGUUCGGAUUGGAGUCUGCAACCCGACUCCAUGAAGUUGGAUUCGCUAGUAAUCGCACAUCAGCCAUGGUGCGGUGAAUACGUUCCCGGGCCUUGUACACACCGCCCGU